UUCCUACGGGGGGCAGCAGUGGGGAAUAUCGCACAAUGGGGGAAACCCUGAUGCAGCGACGCCGCGUGAAGGAAGAAGUAUUUCGGUAUGUAAACUUCUAUCAGCAGGGAAGAAAAUGACGGUACCUGACUAAGAAGCCCCGGCUAACUACGUGCCAGCAGCCGCGGUAAUACGUAGGGGGCAAGCGUUGUCCGGAAUUACUGGGUGUAAAGGGAGCGUAGGCGGGAAAGCAAGUUGAAUGUUUAAGGUACGGGCUCAACCUGUACAAGCGGUCAAAACUGUUUUUCUUGAGUGGAGUAGAGGUA
rnacentral:rRNA from 1 species